AUAACAAUUCCGUAUAUGAUAUCCUAAAAAUUAUAAAAUACAGUUAAAGUUGCUUAGAACUCACGAAUUGACCAUCAAAAGUAUCCAUUAUAUACAGGUGUCCAUUGUAGUAUGGUUUUAGUGGUUUUAUAGUUAAAUCCAGUCGGUUACAUGCGUAUUCCUGAUAUCAAAUAGUUUACGAAUAGACAAUUUACUAGUAUCGUUUGCACCAAAUAGGUAAUUUUAACUUUUUAAUUUAAAUCAUUUCUACGGUACAAGAUGUAUCAUUGCAAAGAUAAAACAACCAACUCUGAAUAAUAGCAGAGCAGAAUGACCAUUUCUGGUCAAAAUAAGAUAAUGGGACAUAAUAUUUUUUUUGGCCAUGCAAUAAACGUUAUCGUUUUCAGCGAUAAAAAUGUAAUCAAAUAUAUAAUUCGUUAAACAUUUUGGAUUUUACUGUAAACUUGCCGUCUGUUAUCAUACCAACUUAGAGAAAUAUAACAGUUUGAGUCCGUUAGACUAGUUAAACUACAUUGAAACGCCUAUCUUUUUCCCAAGACCUUAUUAUUUUCUUCGUUAAGAGAGAUACCCGUUAUAUAAGUAUAAGUCUCCGUUAAUACAGGUUUUAUGUUUUUUUCUACUUU